CAUGGAGGGUGAGAAUCCCGUCCGGUUGACCUCAGGAUGCUCUACAUUACCGCACUCUAAGAGUCGAGUUGUUUGGGAUUGCAGCUCAAAAUGGGAGGUAAAUCUCUCCUAAGGCUAAAUACAGGCGAGAGACCGAUAGCGAACAAGUACCGUGAGGGAAAGAUGAAAAGCACUUUGAAAAGAGAGUUAAACAGCGCGUGAAAUUGUUGAAAGGGAAACGAUUGAAGUCAGUCGUACCGACGAGUAAUCAGCCUUUCGGGUGUGAUUUUGCCGGACACGGAGAGCUUUACCGCAUUCGUGCUUGUAAAUUUGUGCCCUUUGGGUGUACUUUCUCGUAUGGUUAGUUAACAUCAAUUUUGGUCGUUAUAAAAUGACUGGAGUAAUGUAGCUUCGAUCUUGUAUUGAAGUGUUAUAGACUUUGGUAGAUGUAACGAUUGGGAUUGAGGAUUGCAACGAAUACCCUUAGGGCUAUCCGUCUGGUCUCUGAGAGUCGUCUUGGUGCCGAAAGCGUGCUUACGGUUAUCGAGGCUGACGGUCAAAAGGUUAGAACGCGAUUAAAUUCGUUAAGGAUGUUGACGUAAUGG
rnacentral:rRNA from 1 species